rnacentral:tRNA from 1 species
AACGGCAUAGUUUAAUUUGAGAUACAUGCUCUGCAAGCAUGUGGUGGAAACUUGUUCUUCCUGCCGUUG